GCAUAAUCAUUUGCCUUUUAAUUGAAGGCUAGUAUGAAUGGGUAGACGCAGAUUUAACUGUUUCUAUAUUAUAAAUAAAACUUAAACUUUAGGUGAAGAUGCCUAAUUUACAUAGAAAGACAAGAAGACCCUAUAGAGUUUCAGUUAAACUUGUUAUUCCCCCACAACAUAACUUUGGUUGGGGCGACCUAGGAUUUAACUUAACAUCCUUUCACUAUACGACAACUUAUUCUUUAUAUUGACCCUAAAACAGAUCAUCAAAAUAAACUACCUUAGGGAUAACAGGCUUAUCAUCCUAAAGAGUCCCUAUCGACAGGAUGGUUUGGCACCUCGAUGUUGGCUUAGAGUAACUGUCUAUCGCAGCAGAUAGAUUCAGUCAGUUUGUUCAACUAUUAAUUCUCU
rnacentral:rRNA from 1 species